UUUGUAUCAUCUUCUCCAUCUAUUGAUGAACUCCCACGACUCUUCGGGUGGAUUUGGCGAUUAUGCGGCCUCACCAUUGAAAUUCCAAGUUUUCUAGCUUUAUGGCAUGUUGGCUUGGCUGGACGAUUGAUUUUACGAGGGGGUCUUUUCGAAAAAUUGAGAGAAGGAGGCAGAACAUUCUGCGCGUGUCAUGAAUUGUUCAUCUAUUUUGAGAUUUUGUAUUUCUAGAAAAGAUGUUGAUGCCCAAAGCAAUCCUACGCUAGUUCGUAGAUGAACCCUCUAUGAAGGGUAAAGGUGUGAAGUGGGGCUGUGAAUUGAGUUGUAGAUAGGUCAGCUUGGAGCAGCACAGAGUGGCCGGAAGAUGAGGAAGAAAGAUUCGCAGGCGUUCGACCAUAAGCACCUAUUCCCUUCGAUCAACGGAGACUUUUUUGAAGUGUUUGGUGCUUCGAACUGAUGAUGUCACGAGUUCAAGGGAGAAUGUAGCGAUUGCAAGUCCUUCAAGCGAUCGAGCUUAGAAGCUUUCGGGGCAGGGUUUAGAAUUUUGGUAAAUUUUGGGUGGUUGUAAGAACAAUUAUAUAUACAUUUUAUGUUUAAAUUUCUAGUUAUGAAAUAUUAAGUGGAUGAAUAUACACUUUGGG